rfam:Heterocephalus glaber contig94079, whole genome shotgun sequence.
UGCUUGCCCUUCUUGUGAUGAAGGCAACUGUGUCCCUGGAGAGGCUGUUGAGUCUAGAACUGCUUUUAGGGGAGUUGCAGGUGGUGUGUGUCUCCCAUACUAUCAUGGUGAGGCAGAGCUACAGGGUAGCUAGAAGAAGCCAGGGUUUCCAUGACACAGGCCCAGUUUUGAAUGGUACGAGGUAGACUCUGGUAAAAUGUUCUGAGUUGUUCUUGGAUAUCUAUGUGACGUGUUCUCCUCAGUAUCUUGAUUACUUGUGAGAAUUUUAGUAAUUUUAACCUCAUUUCAUGGUAUUUUGUG